rnacentral:snRNA from 1 species
ACAUAAAAAUAUUACAAAUA